rnacentral:rRNA from 1 species
AUUGAACGCUGGCGGCAUGCUUUACACAUGCAAGUCGAACGGUAACAGGCCGCAAGGUGCUGACGAGUGGCGAACGGGUGAGUAAUGCAUCGGAACGUGCCCAGUCGUGGGGGAUAACGCAGCGAAAGCUGCGCUAAUACCGCAUACGAUCUAUGGAUGAAAGCGGGGGACCGAAAGGCCUCGCGCGAUUGGAGCGGCCGAUGUCAGAUUAGGUAGUUGGUGGGGUAAAGGCCCACCAAGCCAACGAUCUGUAGCUGGUCUGAGAGGACGACCAGCCACACUGGGACUGAGACACGGCCCAGACUCCUACGGGAGGCAGCAGUGGGAAAUUUUGGGCAAUGGGCGCAAGCCUGAUCCAGCAAUGCCGCGUGCAGGAAGAAGGCCUUCGGGUUGUAAACUGCUUUUGUACGGAACGAAACGGUCCGGGUUAAUACCCUGGGCUAAUGACGGUACCGUAAGAAUAAGCACCGGCUAACUACGUGCCAGCCGCCGCAGUAAGAC